CAAAGCCCGCAAUUGAAGCUCCGGUAAACGGCGGCCGUAACUAUGACGGUCCUAAGGUAGCGAAAUUCCUUGUCGGGUAAGUUCCGACCUGCAUGAAUGGCGUAACGACUGGCGCACUGUCUCAACCAGCGACCGGUGAAAUUGCAGUCGUGGUGAAGAUACCACGUUCCCGCAGCAAGACGGAAAAGACCCCAUGAACCUUUACUGUAGGCUGAUACUGUCACUUGGCAUGUUUUGUGUAGGAUAGGUGGGAGGCUUUGAAGUCGGUACGCCAGUAUCGAUGGAGCCAUCCUUGAAAUACCACCCUGAACCUGUUAGGUGUCUAACGCGGUCCCGUGAAUCCGGGGCUGCGGACACUGUCAGUUGGGCAGUUUGACUGGGGCGGUCUCCUCCCAAAGUGUAACGGAGGAGCUCAAAGGUACCCCUCAGCCUUGGUUGGCAAUCAGGCGAAGAGCGUAAAGGUAGAAGGGUGCUUGACUGCGAGAGAAAUAGCUCGAGCAGAAACGAAAGUUGGAC
rnacentral:rRNA from 1 species